rnacentral:rRNA from 1 species
GACGAACGCUGGCGGCGUGCUUAACAAAUGCAAGUCGAACGGAAAGGCCUGCUUUCUCUUGCGGAUUGCGGGUACUCGAGUGGCGAACGGGUGAGUAACACGUGUGUGAUCUGCCCCCAACUUGGGUAUAAGCCUGGGAAACCGGGUCUAAUACACGAUAGGCCUGUAGGGUGGUGCCUGUGGCGGAAAAUGAUCUUUUAGUGGUUGGGGAUAGGCCGGCGGCGUUUCAGGUUGUUGGUGGGGUAAUGGCCUACCAAGACGGGGACGGGUAGCCGGCGGGGGAGGGGGGACAGGGGAAUUGGGACUGGGAUACGGCCCCGACGCCAACGGGAAGCAGCGAAGGGGAGUAAUGGGCAGUGAGCGGAAGCCAGAUGGAGCGAGGCCGCGUGGGAGAUGACGGGCUUCGGAUGAUAGCCUCCUUGCGACCAAGAGGAGGCCACUUGGUUGGAGGGGUGGUGACGGUAGUGGAAGAAGAAGCACCGGCUAACUACGUG